UAAUUUGUCAAGUCAGGUCAUAAUUAAUCAACUGAUUUUGGGUAUUUUGGAGAUUGCUUCUGUUGCUAGAUAUACUUGUCCAAUGUUCUGUCUAUUGUCUUCUCAUUUUCAUUCUGGUGCUGUCAUUGGUGCUGUCAUUAUUUUUGCUUUUAGGUUUUGCUCUUGUAGUAUUUUGGUAGAAGUGCGAUAAAAAGGGAAAAAAAAGGAUUUAAAAGAAAUUAAUCAUGUAUUUCUGGAGCCGUCAAAUGUGGUGUACGGGUUGAGUUAUGUCGGGUCAAUUCUGAAUUGGGGUGUGUCCAACUGUUCAAGUCUCAUUUCAUAGCUUUAGGUGUUUAAGAAUGCAAAUGGGUGCUACCUAAUUUCUAGAACUGCCCUCUUACAAGUUACAUAUUUGCUGCUACCCUUUUCAGGUUAUGACUUGCAGACCUCGGACAUAUAUUUUCAGGUUAUAACCAUGUUUGGGCGUGCUCUGAAGAAAAGUUAUAUAGCACCAAAUAUUACGAAACUCUUGGUGUCCCAAAAAUGCCACUCCAUAUGAACUCAAGAAGGCAUUACAGAAAAGCUACCAUAAAGUAUCACCCUCAUAAAGGUGGCGAUCCAGAAAAGAGUUGUAAGUUGCCACAAAGUUGGGCGAGGAACUAUCACGGCUGUUCUUUAUGCUAUUAGGCCGCUCGUGUUUAAUUUCUCUAAACUUAGUCAUGUAUUUUUUUAUGCUUAGCCAUGAUUUCUAUAUAUGUAACCUACAUCAAGGAAUCAACUAUGUUUGUUUUCAUGCUUUCAA